rnacentral:rRNA from 1 species
AUUGAACGCUGGCGGCAGGCCUAACACAUGCAAGUCGAGCGGAUGAAGGGAGCUUGCUCCUGGAUUCAGCGGCGGACGGGUGAGUAAUGCCUAGGAAUCUGCCUGGUAGUGGGUGAUAACGUCCGGAAACGGGCGCUAAUACCGCAUACGUCCUGAGGGAGAAAGGGGGGGAUCUUCGGACCUCACGCUAUCAGAUGAGCCUAGGUCGGAUUAGCUAGUUGGUGGGGUAAAGGCCUACCAAGGCGACGAUCCGUAACUGGUCUGAGAGGAUGAUCAGUCACACUGGAACUGAGACACGGUCCAGACUCCUACGGGAGGCAGCAGUGGGGAAUAUUGGACAAUGGGCGAAAGCCUGAUCCAGCCAUGCCGCGUGUGUGAAGAAGGUCCUCGGAUUGUAAAGCACUUUAAGUUGGGAGGAAGGGCAGUAAGUUAAUACCUUGCUGUUUUGACGUUACCAAAAGAAUAAGCACCGGCUAACUUCGUG